UGCUAAGGAGAAAAAAGUAAGAAAGGAAAUAUAAAACACCAUUUGAAGGACAGCAAGUUGGAAAGAAAUAAAGGAAGAGGAAGAGGCAAGAAAUGGGGUGAGGGAUGCAGUGGGAGACCAGUGUGCAGGGCCUUUAGGUCUUUACAAAGACUUGUCAUUUGGUCCCCAAGGUUUUUGGCCUGUACAACUCUUAGGAGAAUCUUUUUUCUUUUCUUUUUUAAAGAUAGGGUCUCACUAGGUAGCCCAGGCUAGUCUUAGCUUGCUAUCCUCCUGCCUUAGCCUCUUCUGAGUGCUAAAAUUACACGAGUGCCACCAAACCUAGCUUUUUUUAAAGCCUCUCCUAAAGCCAAAUACCCCUCCUUUAAGGAUGCCACUUGGCUCUUCCCACAGUUCACUGCAGCCACAUUAAUGACUUUCUAACAUGCGUAGCCAUCAUUCACUAGGUUCUCAUUUGUGUUUCCCAAGAAUCUUGUUUUGGUUGAACUUGUCCUCAAAGACCAUCAAAGUCCCGAGCACAUAGUGGGCUCUCAGGAAUAUUUGGUGAGUGAUAACCAAUUAAAUGAAUGAAUGCGUGACUCAGAACAGAUGUGUGGAGACUGUAAACAGCAGUGACCUCUCAGUACCCUGUGGUGAGAGACAGCACAGCUGGCCUGUGGAGUGGAAGCCAGGCCUCUGGGAUGGUGUCCCAGCAGCAUCUUUUCUCCCUUUUCUGUAGCCCUGGGCCAGGAGGAGGCCGCUGACCCUGUCCCUGCCCCUUCAGAAGAAACUGCAGACCUCAGGGAAUGACCUUGUGACACUCAGCCAUGAGACUCCCUCCUGCCUCCAAAUGUUUGUUCUGCUCAGAGGUGUGGAAGAGUUUUGCUGCACCUCUAAGAAACAGGGGCAAGCAUGGAUGUUCUGAUUUCCAGGCUAGAACAUGGAGACUGUCUUCCUAGUGACUGUGGAUCUUAGAGGGCAGCCCUGGAGGUGGGAGGAAUGGGCCAGAAUCUCCAGGCAUUGAGGCCCUCCUCCUCAUCUCAAAGCUAAAGCUCUGUGAUCUCCUGUAAGAGGACGUCUGAUGUAGUGACCUAGAUGGCCUUUCAGGUAGAGAGAGGUGGGCUGAGCAGCAGCAGCAUGCACAUUUUAUCGCUCUCUUCCGACUUCGGAUAUAAUGUAACCAGCUGCUUCAAGCUCCUGAGGCCUCGACUUCCCCACCGUGAUGAACUGUAACCUGGAACUGAGAGCUAAAAUAAACUGUCUCCCCUGAGGUGCUUUUGUCAGAGUAUUUGAUCACAGCAACAGGAAAAGAAACCAAGACAUUGCUGUUGCUUGUGGUUUUGGGGGUGUCAUGAGACU